rnacentral:rRNA from 1 species
GAUGAACGCUGGCGGCGUGCUUAACACAUGCAAGUCGAACGAAACACCUUAUUUGAUUUUCUUCGGAACUGAAGAUUUGGUGAUUGAGUGGCGGACGGGUGAGUAACGCGUGGGUAACCUGCCCUGUACAGGGGGAUAACAGUCAGAAAUGACUGCUAAUACCGCAUAAGACCACAGCACCGCAUGGUGCAGGGGUAAAAACUCCGGUGGUACAGGAUGGACCCGCGUCUGAUUAGCUGGUUGGUGAGGUAACGGCUCACCAAGGCGACGAUCAGUAGCCGGCUUGAGAGAGUGAACGGCCACAUUGGGACUGUGACACGGCCCAAACUCCUACGGGAGGCAGCAGUGGGGAAUAUUGCACAAUGGGGGAAACCCUGAUGCAGCGACGCCGCGUGAGUGAAGAAGUAUUUCGGUAUGUAAAGCUCUAUCAGCAGGGAAGAAAAUGACGGUACCUGACUAAGAAGCCCCGGCUAACUACGUG